rnacentral:lncRNA from 1 species
UGACUUUAUUUGACAAAAUUGCUUUCUUUAAGUUUUAUUUUUUUCCUUUCAUUGAAACAUAAUGAAAAUAUAUUUCUUGUUUUUUUUUUAAAGAUUUUAUUGUUUGGAGGAAGGGGGGGUCGAAGGAAAGAGAGAAGCAUCCUCCCCUCUGAUAUGGAGUCGGACAUGGGGCUUUAUCUCAAGACCUUGAGAUCAUGACCUGAGCCGAAAUCAAGAACGAUUAACUGAGCGAGCAACGCAGGUGCCCCAAAAAUGCAUUUCUUAAUAAUUACAAUUGUUGAUUUAAAAAGUAAUAAUCAGGUUUUACUGGUAUUUGCAAGAUCAUAUUAAAGAAUAAUAAUUUCUUAAAAACUAUUAGUACUCAUUAUGCACCAGAUACUGGGCUAGAUGCCUCAGAUCUGUUAUCUCGAGACUAAACAAUCCCAAAUGAUAGUGUUCUUAUACCCAUUUUACAGAUAAGGAAUCAGAAACUUGAAAAAUAGAGCAGAAUUCUAAACACACCCGGCCAAAAUCCCUGUUCUUCCUUAAUAUCCAAAGAUUUGUCCGAAAAAGGCUGAUUUCAUAAAAUGAAAGCAUAUUUUUUAUUCUAUAAUUGUUAAUUAACUAAUAAUCACAACUGAAAUUUUUCCAUACUUUAGAAUUUACUAUUGCCCAGGUGGUGGCAGCAUGUCUCAAAGAGCUAGUAUGGUGCAAAAGAUUCUCUCCAACUUUGCCAGUUGAUUUGCCUCCUCAUAUGGGAUCUCUGUCAACUAACUUCUCUGUUGGGCUUUCGCUACUAUUAGACCAAGCCAUCAGUGACUAAAUGUGUUUUCCAUUCUCCCAUCAGCCUCAUCUUCUGAAUGGGUCCUACCCUGCUACUUUGCUUUUAGCUUAUUUUACUUAGAAAGCAUCACAAAAUUACUGUUUUUUAGGAUAUUUAUGUAGACCUAUCCAGUAACACAAAAAAUUUUUUUCAAAUAUUGUUAAUUUUCACCCAUUGUUAAAUAUAAUUUAGAAGAAACCUAUACUAAAACAAUGAGCUAAUCUUAUAAAAUACUUGUUUAAAUUAGAUAGCAUGCUUCUUAAACAUAUAGGAUAUACCAAUUAAGGAGGCCAUGAAAAGCUUUUAAAAGAUAGAAUGAAUCUUCAAAUUAAGAACAAGAACAUUCAGGAGGGAGCAGGGCAAGGUUGUACAAUUCAGAAGGAAUGCAUAUGUAGCAGAAUAACUAGUUAAACCAAUUUUAGCUAAAAAUUGCUUGGAACAUUAUUUUCACCUUUGUAGGGCAGAUGCUACUUCCUCACAAAAACUCUCUCUACCCCAUCACUUAAUUUUUUUUUUCAUAGCACUCCAGUCUGAACUUGUUUGCCAGUUUGUUAUCUGUUUUUCCUGCUAAAAGAUAAGCUGUAUGUGAUCAGUUACCCCAGUACCUGAAAAUAUUGUUUUGAAUAGUUGAUUCCAAAAUGUAGUAGCAUUGCUACUUACAAAUAAAACUGUUAGUUUUAUUUUAAUUUGUAGUAUGAACAAAUCAUGAAAUAACCUAAAUCUUGUGAAGUUUGUAUUAAAAUACCAAAUGGGCACCUGAGUGGUGCUCAGUUGGUUAAGCAUCUGCAUUCAUCUCAGGUCAUGAUCUCAGGAUCCUGGGAUGGAGUCCCAUGUUGGGCUUCCUACUCAGAAGGGAGUCUGCUUCUUUCUCACCCUCUCCUCCUUCCCCCACUCAUGCUCCCACUGUCUCUCUGUCAAAUAAAUAAAUAAAGUACCAAACAGUUGUAGUAUGUUUUCAGGGUAAUAAUGGAUGCCCAUAAGAAGAGGUCUGAAGAUGAGUAGGUAAGGUGUUUAGAGAAAGGUAAAGUAAUUAUGAUAAUCUUGUUAAUUAAAGAAUACUAGUUACUUAAUAAUUUCCAAGUAUGUACAAGGAACAUAGACUAUGGGUGCUAAGAUUUACAAUAAGAACAGCCUGGAGUAGAUAUCUCUGUAGAGAUCAUUGAAAAUGGGGCAAAAGUGUAUGUGCAGACUAGAUGCUCUCUUGAUAUUUUCCAGCUUCAUUAUUCCCAGUGCAGGUUGCAGGAGAAAUACUUAGAUUGAAUAGCAGAUACGUCUCUCAUUGAUUAUUCCUUGCUACUCAUGGCUUCUUGUAUACAUUUAGAAACAUUGAGUACAGUCACUGCAUGUGGUUACAUAUAGCUGCUUUGGCUAGUUUAUAGAAUUUUUUUCACAAAAUACUGAAAAUUAGGUGUUUCUGCGCUUUCAAUACUGAAACUGUUUACAAUUCUUUAUCUUCAGAAUGUACUGUACAUGCACAUGCAGCAAACUAAAUUCCCUGUAGGUAGAGAGCAUCAUUAGUGAAACUUUCUGAAGCCUUGCGUUGCAGUCAGUGCUUUUGAAGUUGUGAGAUACUAAACUUCCCUGCUGAAUCUAGAGGUUCAAAUUUUAGGCUUGCCCCUAAAUAAUGAAAUUAUAUUAACCAUGUCGAGUUACUUUUUAUUUCUAUGCUAGAGUCUCUUAGCCAUUAAAUAAGAAUUGCUAUCCCAAUUGGGAAAACUAAUCCAUGUAAGAAUCCUUCAGUGUAAAAAUGAUGUGUAUUGCAAAAGCACCCCCCUAGCAAUAUCACCGUCACUGGGUAGAAUUUUAAUUUGAUGCCUUCACCUAAACAUAUAAACCGUAUAAAACAUUUUAACUGGGGGCAGCCCGGAUGGCAUAGCGGUUUGGCGCCGCCUGCAGCCCAGGGCGUGAUCCUGGAGAUCCGGGAUCGAGUCCUGUAUCGGGCUCCCUGCAUGGAGCCUGCUUCUCCCUCUGCCUGUGUCUCUGCCUCUCUCCUGCUUUGUAUCUCUCAUG